rnacentral:misc_RNA from 1 species
UUUUCGUAGGUGAACCUGCGGAAGGAUCAUUAUAGAGUUGCGACUCCUCCGGGAGCCAUCUCCACCCCUUGACUACCAACAUUGUUGCUUUGGCGGGCCGCGGCCCUGCUGCCGCCGGCCCCGGCUGGCGAGCGCCCGCCAGAGGCCUUCGAACCCUGAAUGUUAGUGUCGUCUGAGUACUAUAUAAUAGUUAAAACUUUCAACAACGGAUCUCUUGGUUCUG